ACUAGGCAAGAGUUGUACACCAGAGCUGUUGCUGCCUCCAACGUCAUUUUAGAGAAUUUGGCAGUAUGUCCAACCAGCCUCACAACUUCAGACCAUGUGUAACCACGCCAGCCCAGGACCUCCAACAAUUCAUAACAGCUAUGAGGGGCUUAGCUACAAAACAGGUGCUAACUACGAACCUAUAACAUGCUUCCAGACAAAUUCAAGAGCCAAGUCUUUCAUCUUCUCCAUGUAGAUCUGGUCAAAUUCCUCACUCUGGGCCACAGUGAACAUAGUCUGCCAGUCCCCAACCUUCCCUGAUGGUGCCUAGGAGAGGAUGGCUAGGCUGACACAUCCAUCAUCUUCUUCGGUGUUGAUAUACUCAUGUGGGGUAUCUAUUUGUGACAUCAUGCCACUCCUUGGUAGCCUGGGUACCAGUCUGUUUGUGACAUCAUGCCACUCCUUGGUAGCCUGGGUACGAGUCUGUUUGUGACAUCAUGCCACUCCUUGGUAGCCUGGGUACCAGUCUGUUUGUGACAUCAUGCCACAACUUGCAAAACAUUAAAAUAUUGGUCACUAUGAACUAUUUCUGUAUUCAAAAACCAGAUGUCAAUGAGUAAUUCAGACCAUGUUUUACAAAUAAAUCUGUGAAUGCCAUUCAAAGCAGGCGUUAAAUUGUCUUGAUAAAGAAGACAUGCUUUCACCUUUCACCUUUCUGCUUCUCCAGAACAACCACUUUACUCUCACACAGACCUCUCUCUUUCUCUCUCUCUCUGUUUAGGCGAGUUCACAGGUCAGUGCUUUCAACUCCCUGCCCUGAAAGUUCACUGACAUACAGUAUACUCCGUCAGCUAAGGACAAUCAUUACGGUGAUACUAACUGAAGGUUAAGUGAUCCCCUAUGACUCUAGUAUGCCUUGUCACUUGUCAAAGGGAGAAACCUGUAAAGAGAACACAAUGUAUUGUACUAUGAGUACCACACCUAGUUUUACAAUAGAUACAGUACGUAAUGUGCUUCCUCCAGUAGCCUAGAGCAAGUACACCACGUUUUACGAUCAGUGCAAAUAAAAACGUAUUUCUCCACAAUGGAAUGUUUGAGUAUCGUGUCUGAGCUAGCUUCUUUCAGACAUGUGAUCAUGUUAAAAUUGAGUGACAGAGGAACUCACUUGUGCAGACGAGACACAGGUUCAGCUUUUGUAACAGUACAAUAACAACACUUUAUAUAACGAUGAACUGUAUGUGCGGAUGCGGCAUGUGCCUCUUAGCAGGUGAAACAAUAACAAAGUGUUUUUUCGCCACCCGUGUUGGUAAAAAGCUGAGGGAUGGGGCUGGAGAAAUGUAACCACUCUCAAAUUCAUAGACUGAGCUAUGGAUGUAAGACUGACCAUCCAUGAUAUACAAAGUAUAGUUUUAACCAUGUUUUGAGGCUAUAUAGUGUUUGUUUAUGUUUGCUUUGUUUAAAAACAUUGGAGUUAAACAAGCUUAUAUUUUGGGGGUUCUGAUGGGGUACGACAGUUGAACUAAGCUCAUGAAGCAUUUCUAAGUUAUAUUCUUAAAGAAUCAAAUGGGUGCAUAUGAUAAAUUUAUCAAAAAUACAUGUAGAAAUUGCAGAUUGGGUAGGUGCGUAGAAGCCUUUAAGCUAUAAAAAUCACAUGUUGUGGUCCUAUCAAAAAAUAAUUAGGCAGGAUUCCAUCCAAGUGGUGUUGUAGAGCGUUGUCAAUAUAACAGUAUAACUUUAUACCGUUCCCUCGCCCAUACCCGGGCGCGAACCAGGGACCCUCUGCACACAUCAACAACACGAAGCAUCGUAGUGUUUGUUGAGAUCGCAAUCAGAGUAAGCGCUGCAAAAUACCUUAAAAUGUCAAUCGCUCUAGAACGCACCUCGGGUUGAAUCCCGGCAUUACUAUAGUUAUAAAAACAAGGCGAUUUCCUGUAUUCUGUAUAUUGUGAGAAUCCAUAUGUCAAAAACAGCAAGAUUCACAAACCUUUAAAUAUAUUUAGGUUUUUAUUUAAAAUGUUUGCAUAAAACAAUGAAAUGAUUAAUUGACUGUAUCCCAUACCACAAUUCCAUGUACACUGAAGAAAAGAAGAAACAAAAGCUCACAGCAGGGAACUAAAACCUGUCACAAAUCAAUGAUCUGGAAUUAUACACUGUUCUCUCAUUGCUGCACACAAGUAGAUUUUUAAAAUGUUUUAUGGUUAUUUAUUAGAUAGUGGCAGAUCACAACGUCUUUCUACUCUUCUACUUCUGACUGUAAAUAUUUGUAUUUGAUUUUGAGACUAGAUAUAUUCGUGUAUGUUUUUUGUACUACUUAAAAUGCAUUUUUAUUGUAAGGUCUCAAACGGACGUGGCUGUAUAGCCAAGUAUGAAUUCCAGCUUUAAUGUUAUUGAAAAAAACAAGACCCAUAGGGCAUCUACUUCACUAGCGUACUAGCUAGAUAGUUAGCUGUGACCCACCAUAAUGGCACACAGUGCCAAUAAAACUCUUUAUGCCAUAACUCAUCUUGAUACAUAGACCUCAGAACACAUCAUACAUAUGUAAAUGCAUACAUCGAUUUUUUUCUUUUCUUAUAUUGUGUUAUUUGACUGUUCGUUUGUCUAUGUGUAACUCUGUUGUUUUUGUCGAACUGCUUUGCUUUAUCUUGGCCAGGUUGCAGUUGUAAAUGAGAACUUGUUCUCAAUUGGCCUACCUGGUUAAAUAAAGGUGAAAUAAAAAUAUAAAAAUAC